AGCAGCCGCGGUAAUUCCAGCUCCAAUAGCGUAUAUUAAAGUUGUUGCAGUUAAAAAGCUCGUAGUUGAACUUCAGGCUCGGUCGGGCGGUCCGCCUCACGGCGUGUACUGUCUGACUGGGUCUUACCUCUUGGUGAGCCAGCGUGGCCUUUAUUGGUUGCGUUGGGGAACCAGGACUUUUACCUUGAGAAAAU
rnacentral:rRNA from 1 species